rnacentral:rRNA from 1 species
CUUGCAACCAAUAAGAGGUCCAGCCUGCCCAGUGACUCUGUUCAACGGCCGCGGUAUUCUAACCGUGCAAAGGUAGCGCAAUCAUUUGUCCUUUAAAUAAGGACUAGUAUGAACGGCACCACGAAAGCUAUACUGUCUCCUUCCCCUAAUCAGUGAAACUAAUCUUCCCGUGAAGAAGCGGGGAUAAUUUUAUAAGACGAGAAGACCCUAUGGAGCUUUAAACACACAACAAUUGUCACGGACCUACCCCCUUCCCCGGAAGAAACCGCCAACCCGAACAUUUUGAUUGCAAGUUUUAGGUUGGGGUGACCACGGAACAAAAAAUAACCUCCAUGGUGAAUAGGAUUCCUUCCCUUAAACCCAGGGCCACGACCCUAAGGAUCAAUAAAUUGACACCCAUUGACCCAAUACUUUUGACCAACGAAC